rnacentral:rRNA from 1 species
CAGUCGCCACGGGAAUACGAAGGGGGCUAGCGUUGUUCGGAUUUACUGGGCGUAAAGGGUGCGUAGGCGGACUGAUAAGUCAGGGGUGAAAUCCCAAGGCUCAACCUUGGAACUGCCUUUGAUACUGUUAGUCUUGAGUUCGAGAGAGGUGAGUGGAACUGCGAGUGUAGAGGUGAAAUUCGUAGAUAUUCGCAAGAACACCAGUGGCGAAGGCGGCUCACUGGCUCGAAACUGACGCUGAGGCACGAAAGCGUGGGGAGCAAACAGGAUUAGAUACCCGUGUAGUCCCUGUCUCUUAUAA